UAAGCUUCAAAACAUUUCAUGUUCUUUUUAUUAAUAAUAAAGAUAAAAACAAAUAUUUAUUAGUAGAUUAAGUAUCGGAGUACAUGUUUCUAUCUAUUUAAGUAGUCAAAUAAAAAGUAAAAUAGUUGAAAAUAUUUUCAAAUUUCUAAAAGAACGCGAAAUCGGAAGCCUAAUAGCAACACGGCGUCGCAUAAUUUUCUUGACCAUGUUAUUUGACAAACAGAACAUCUCUCCUCCUUUCCAUUUACAGUCGCUCUUUGUUUCUCUCACUCUCGUAGCUUCUCUUAGCUUCUAUACUCUAAUCUGAAAUAAUCAUGGCGGCGGCAUGGGCUCGUCAAGCCGCGAAUCUUGCUCGGAUUUCUUCUCCAAAANNNN
rnacentral:lncRNA from 1 species